rnacentral:rRNA from 1 species
UACAGAGGUCUCAAGCGUUUGUUCGGAUUCAUUGGGCGUAAAGGGGUGCGUAGGUGGCGCGCUAAGUCAGGUGUGAAAUUUCGGAGCUUAACUCCGAAACUGCAUUUGAUACUGGCGUGCUUGAGGACUGGAGAGGAGACUGGAAUUCAUGGUGUAGCAGUGAAAUGCGUAGAGAUCAUGAGGAAGACCAGUGGCGAAGGCGGGUCUCUGGACAGUUCCUGACACUGAGGCACGAAGGCCAGGGGAGCAAACGGG